UUGUGUUGGGUGAGUUUUCAA
rnacentral:piRNA from 1 species